rnacentral:lncRNA from 1 species
AGACCGCCCUAAGAAAACGCCACGUAGUUGAUUAGCUGGUGAGUUGUGUGUCUAGCUUGUGUUUCUGGCUCAGUACAACUGUACAUCAUCAUCCAACACACACACAAACGCUCACGCGCCCACUAUCGCACUCGCCAACUGUUGCCUUUCCCUCUACGUCGCACGUUCUCGGAACUCCACUUUCUAUUUUCUUUUUAUUAAUGGGUAUUUAUCACAAAUAAUCUUUUAAAUUGAUCCAUCCCAUCUGUUCUUGAAAUUGAAAAUCGAUGUCGCAAAUCAAUGUAGUCUUUCCUUCAUAAUUCCGUUAAAAAUUCUUUUAU